AGUCCAGUUCGAAGAUGUGCGAAUUCGGACAAAAUCCUUGAGGUCGAAACGUUUAUGUACGAAUAUACAUUUGUAGUAAGCAAAGUUAACAUUAUCCUCUGUCUUUUCGUUUCCGGCUCUCGGACGAGUAACACAUCAGAAAUUCACCAACAAAUUUUAAAUCGUUUUCCGUUGUACAUGUUAAAAGCUACGAUACCUAGACAAACAAAUUUUAAGUCGUUUUCCGUUGUACAUGUUAAAAGCUAAGAUACCUAGACGAGGAAAGGGGUUAAGGAAGUGUAAAAUUACUAUUUGUGAGGAUUAAGAACUUAGUGGAGAGAGGAAACGUUCAAGUAGGACUGAUCGGGGAAUGUCACCACCGAAUAUAAGCCACGAUACAUCAGAAGAGCAAGGAACAGAGUGGUUGCAAUUGUUAGACGAGAGCCCGUCAUCUAUCAGUAAUCACGUUUUCCAUUUGCAUUCGUGACGGGAGAAUGGAGGAGAUGGAAAGUUCUUGAGCUGAAUUUAGUAAAACAGAGACCACCAGAGGAAGUUGUGAGAGACUGACAGUGAUGUACUGAACGAUCAUGAUGGAAAGACAACAUAGUCAAAUGGGGGUUUGCCAUAAGCUUAACUUGUGCAUAGCCUGCUUUGAUAGAGAGCCUUCAGGAUAUUUUCAUCUAUGUGACUUACCGCCUGUAUACCUUGUACACUACAUAUUUUUAAAAACAAUCUAGGAAGAAUUACCCUAAAUGUGGGAGUAAAAUUGAAGCUAUCAGAAACAUUUAUAUUACUAGAAAGUAUUUGAUAAUAUAAUAGCAAUUCUUACAUGAUUACAAUCAGGUAGAUACUUAAGAGCGGAAAGCAUUUUAAGUUGAACUGUUUACUUCUUUCGAUGUAGGACACAAUGGAGAAUUGUUAACAUGCUUCUUGAAUUUAGAAUAUUAGACACCGAUGCGUCUUUGAAAUUUACUUAUACUGUGAACAGUAUUGGAUAUAAAGGCAACAUCAAUGUUAAGUUAUUGACAUCUUAUUUUAUAUAACGUUGAACCAGUAUAAAGAUUCAACCAUGGCUACAUCUUGUAUCUACUAAUUUACAGGACAUUUUUAUUUGUUUAUAUUGUACAUAGUGCCACGUAUGAAAAAACAGUAAAGAUACAUAUGAAGAUUUGUAUUUUGUUUCCUAAUAUUUGCUGUAUUAGGUAAAGGCAAUAUCUGUAAUGUUAAGUUUGUUUUUGAAUCAUAAUGUAUCAGGUGAACAAGAGUAAAAGUUGAGUAAGUCU
rnacentral:lncRNA from 1 species